rnacentral:rRNA from 1 species
AAAUUGAAGAGUUUGAUCAUGGCUCAGAUUGAACGCUGGCGGCAGGCCUAACACAUGCAAGUCGAGCGGUAGCACAGAGAGCUUGCUCUCGGGUGACGAGCGGCGGACGGGUGAGUAAUGUCUGGGAAACUGCCUGAUGGAGGGGGAUAACUACUGGAAACGGUAGCUAAUACCGCAUAACGUCGCAAGACCAAAGUGGGGGACCUUCGGGCCUCAUGCCAUCAGAUGUGCCCAGAUGGGAUUAGCUAGUAGGUGGGGUAACGGCUCACCUAGGCGACGAUCCCUAGCUGGUCUGAGAGGAUGACCAGCCACACUGGAACUGAGACACGGUCCAGACUCCUACGGGAGGCAGCAGUGGGGAAUAUUGCACAAUGGGCGCAAGCCUGAUGCAGCCAUGCCGCGUGUGUGAAGAAGGCCUUCGGGUUGUAAAGCACUUUCAGCGGGGAGGAAGGCGAUAAGGUUAAUAACCUUGUCGAUUGACGUUACCCGCAGAAGAAGCACCGGCUAACUCCGUGCCAGCAGCCGCGGUAAUACGGAGGGUGCAAGCGUUAAUC